UGGCUCAGGAUGAACGCUGGCGGCGUGCCUAAUACAUGCAAGUCGAACGCGCAAAAGGAGCUUGCACUUUCAAGCSAGUGGCGAACGGGUGAGUAACACGUGGAUAACCUGCCUCAAGGCUGGGGAUAACAUUUGGAAACAGAUGCUAAUACCGAAUAAAACUUAGUAUCGCAUGAUACAAAGUUGAAAGGCGCUACGGCGUCACCUAGAGAUGGGUCCGCGGUGCAUUAGUUAGUUGGUGGGGUAAAGGCCUACCAAGACAAUGAUGCAUAGCCGAGUUGAGAGACUGAUCGGCCACAUUGGGACUGAGACACGGCCCAAACUCCUACGGGAGGCUGCAGUAGGGAAUCUUCCACGAUGGGCGAAAGCCUGAUGGAGCAACGCCGCGUGUGUGAUGAAGGCUUUAGGGUCGUAAAGCACUGUUGUAUGGGAAGAAAUGCUAGAAUAGGGAAUGAUUCUAGUUCGACGGUACCAUACCAGAAAGGGACGGCUAAAUACGAGCCAGCAGCCGCGGUAAUACGUAUGUCCCGAGCGUUAUCCGGAUUUAUUGGGCGUAAAGCGAGCGCAGACGGUUGAUUAAGUCUGAUGUGAAAGCCCGGAGCUCAACUCCGGAAUGGCAUUGGAAACUGGUUAACUUGAGUGUUGUAGAGGUAAGUGGAACUCCAUGUGUAGCGGUG
rnacentral:rRNA from 1 species